rnacentral:lncRNA from 1 species
UCAAUACGUUGUCGUAUUGUGUGUUGUUUUGCUCAGGAAUACACCAGACACCUAGUUGUGGAAGGUGAGAUUGUGUUUUAUAAGUAGUUAAGAAAUCCUAAUAGAUUUUAUCCAUACAAGAAGAAUAUAAUCUGAAUUUCAAUUCAAAAGUGCUUAAAACACUCUUCUUAAUAGUCUUAACCAUACAUAAAUUCCAAUUACCUUAUUACUUUUAUAUUUAAGCAAUUUAGAUUUUUCUUAUAAGCCCCAAUCCUAAUCAAUGAACUUUAACAAGCUGUAACAUCUAAUCCGACCGUCCACUUGAUGUAGAAUUUAGCAUGCAAUUGUCAAUGUAAGUCUUCAAUAUGCUCAAGAAUUUUUAGCCCAAUCCAACUUACAGAUUGUAAUAAAACCUCCAAAAAUUGCACCAAUGUCACUCGGCUGUCAACUUGAAAAGUGAAGCAAAAAUCCUAGCAAUGAUUUCUCCCUUUCUAACCGUUAACUUUGUUUCAAAAUUGGUGUGUAGCUUGAUCUUUAAGUCUUGCAAUACCAUGCCAAUUUUCUCUUUAAUCCAACUGAUAGAUCUUCAGAUAUCAUAGAAAUCCUAUCCAACCUCAAACUGCCACCUUCUGAAACCUUCUUGUGCUAAAAACUAGAUAUCUCUAAACCACGCCGUUAGAUUAUUACAAAAUUUUGCAUAUACUUAGCACACCCAAUAAUCCAAACAAUAUCAAGUUUUUAAUUGUAGAUGUCACACAAAUUGCACGAACUAGUCAAAAUUGCUAGUCCUAAUUAUAUUAUAUAAUAUCCAAAUCACUAAUAUAAACCUUGACUUUGAAUUUAAAUUGCUAACUCCUCCAAAUCCUUCUCAAAACAAUUCUUAUGUCUUUGAAAAGAACUUCAAGCUAGCUCUCAAAUCCUAACCUUCGAUCUUCAAAUGAAACUCUAUUUUGCCCUAAGCUGUCGUUUUAGUGGCCAGAGGUUUGAUUUCAACCGUGUCUCACAAAUGGUCGACCCUUGGGUAUCAAUUUAACAUAUCCUAAGGUAUUUUUAGCCCAAUCCUACUCUCAACUUAAUCCUAGUACCAACUAUACUAAUUAUUUACCUCUUCUAAUUUGAUUUAUUUGAUUUAUGGUCUUUCUAAGGUAGUAGAAGAGUCUCUACAACUAAGAAGGUAAAAUUAUUAAGUAACCUUCAACCUACUAAUUAUUAAGAUAAAGAAAUAACUUAAAAGGCUUUUAUAAAAGCCGUGUUUAGAUAUCUCAAAUUAUAAUUGAAUUAAGAUAAUUAGAUAUUAAUUAGAAAUUCAACUUUGAUUACAAUUUCACUAUAUAGUCGUAUUACAUCACGACAUCCACCUCCUCUCAAACUUCGCAUCUUCCGGCAUGCGCCAAAUGAACCAUAUAUCGUAAUUGGCAUCAUGCCAUCUCUUCAUUUUCUUCAUUAAAUCCUUUAUUUCUAUUUUUACCAUCCUCUUCAAAACAAUUAUCUUCUUAAAAAAUGCCAAUAUCUUCGGCAUGAACUUCCAUAUUAAUUUCUCUAUCUUGUCUUUUAAAAAUCUUUACUUGCUUUCCAGCAAUAGGUAUUUUCAACCUUGUACCAUUUAACUCCCUUAAUGAAUAUGUGGCAUUAUCAUGAAUCGUUACUACCACAUAUGGUCCAAACCAAUGUUUCAAAAACUUUUGCAAAGUACUAUGUUGGUUAUCCAGACUGCUAUCAUAAACAAGUAUCUAAUCACCUUCUUCAAUUGCUUUAGGCUUCAAUCGAUGUUGCUUAUCAAAUCGAGUCUUAUUUCUUAACCUUGCUAUUUAUAACUCUUUUAAUGUUAGUUCCACAUCUUUCGAUCUUUGUUCAAGUUGUCGGAUUCUAAUGGCUAACAAUUCCUUUCUUGUCAACCCAUCUUCCCAUGGUAGCAUACUCCACGUUGGCACAUUUUUUUCAAUUGACAUAAUUGGUUUUUGACUUGUCAUAAGUUCCACUAGCAUAUAUCCUGUCACCAAACUAUGUAUUGUUCAAUUAGCCCAUAAUGCAUAAGAUAGAAGUCGAGGCCAUUCUCUCACUCUUCCAUUGCAAGCUUUAACUAAGGCUUUUACAAUUGGUGGAUGCCCACGUUUACUCUUUGCAUUCUCCUCUAGAUUAUAAGCACUAGUCAAUGAUAAUUUGAUUCCACAUCUCUUAAAUAAAUCACGAGCUUCAUAUGCAUCCAAUUCUCCUCAAUCUGUAGUGAUCUUUUCCACACAUCCAUAGCGACAGAUAACUUCCUCAAGUAAAAUCUUGCAAAUUCCCUCUGUGGACUUUGUUCUUAGUGCCCUGCCUUCUACUUGGUUUGAUAAAUUUUCUCGAGCCAAAACUAAAUAUCUCAUUUGUCAUAGUCCCAUCGACAUAAUAACUAAAUCUACAACCCAUUUAAAAUAAAUAGCCAAAAGAUAUGUGAGAUGCAAUCCAUCUUGAUGUCGUAUAUUUGAAUACAUCUAACAAGUUACACAAGAUUCUACAAAAAAAGUUACAUCUUGAUACAUAUUCUUCCACCAAUAUCGUUCCUUCAUUUUAGCAAAAGUAGCCCAAAUUCCUCUAUGUCUUACCCAUAGACUCUCAUGAAACUCUUUAAGUAGUCUUUGUUGAUCUUCUUUAGUACCUACUAUUCGUCUUGGCAUUCCAAUUUCUUUUUUUGGUCUCUUCCAUAAAAACCCUUCUUGAAGCAAAAAUCCAUAAGCCUUCUUUCUUAUUUGAUUAAAUUUUUCUAUUGAUCAAUUUUCUUACUUAGUCAAGGUAUUCAAAUAAAGACCAAUUUUUUAGUAAUUUUCCUUCAUAAAGCUCUUCAAAAAACAACUUGUCUUCUUUAUUAAGAUUUGAUAUUGAAUAGAAUUUUGUUCCAUCAUCAUCAAUAUCUUCAACCAUCUCAUCUUUUCUUUCAUAUACUGCUCGAGAUAACAUAUCUGCUACCAGAUUGUCUUUCUUUACAACAUGCCUAAAUUUUAGAUUUAGUGAUUUGAUAUAAGCAAUCCAUUUCAACAUCGCAAUAUCUGGUAUAGUACAAUUGGUUAUCAUUCCAAGUAAAAGCAAACAAUUUGUUUCAAUUACCAUCAUAGCUCCUAUCAAAUAAUCCUUUUUAGUUUUUAUAGCUGAAACAACUCCCCAUAGUUCCCUUUUCAACUAUGAAUAUGCAUGUUGGUGAAUACUUAAAACUUUAGUUCCAAAUCAUACUACUAAUCUGUGUCCAUUUGAGUCAUUAUGACCUACAGCCCAUCCAAUGGCAAUCAAACUAGUAUUCACAAUACAAAUCAUUAGUCUAUUGCUCUUAUAAUCAAUUUUUUUCAAUACUGGAGGCGAUAUCAAUAAUUUCUUUAAUCUUUGUAGUGCUUUAACAUACUUUUCUUCCCAUUUAAAUCGAUAGCCUUUGCGUAAUAGUUCAUAUAAUAGAUCUGCUAUGUAUGCAUAAUGAAGAAUCCAAAUACAAUAAAAUACAUAUGCACCUAAAAACCUAUGAACCUCUGUUAAAGAACUACAAUCUUCUUUCAUUCUGCCAAUUGCAUCAACUUUAGUCGGAUUUGGUUUUUUUCCAUAAAAUCCACAUAAAUGUCCAAAAAUCACAACGUCUUAUACUCCAAAUGUAGAUUUUAUAUCCGAUAAUGUAAGAUGAACUUCUUCAAGCCAAGUUAAUAUUUUUUUACAAUCUUGUAUAUGAUGAGAAACAUACUUGCGACACCCCUUUUUAUCUAAAGUUUCAUCCUUGUCUUCUUCUUUGCAUUCCUUUAUAAGAACAUUAUCCAGAAAAGGCAUAGUCUUUGUAGAAUAUGUAAAUAAAUUUUGUGGUAAGUUACUGGUUGGUUAUUGAUAACCUUGAGAAUUAGACUUAUGAUUAGACAAUUUAGUUGAUAACAGUAGGUUGUUAGUGGAACAAAUGGUUAAGAAUUUAAAGAUUCAUAACUUUUGAAAUGUGUUGGCCGACGGUCCAUCUUUUGGUAGGAUAAAGAUGUUGAGAAAAGAGAGAUCAGGGCCAGACUAUGAUAGACGUAAGCCAUGAUAAGCUUGGUACUACCUCUUUGUUUUCUUUGCUUUUAUUAUUUUUUUAUGAAGAAUUGUCAUUGAGAGAAGUAUUGUUGAAAUUGUGAUUAGACUAUUGUGCAAUAUGACUUUGGACUGACCAUUUUGGAAAAAAUCUGUGACCUUAAGAAUUGAGAUUAUCGAAUUAUGUUGUGUCAAUUGAAGGUAUUGAAUUUUGUGUGGUGAAUUGAAAAAUUGAAUAUAAUAAGUAAGCUAGAGAUCAGUAAUUGAAUAUAUAUAAACUGCAAAGAGAGUAAGUGGGAGAUGAAUUGUUAAGAAUAUGGAAGUAUUGUUGAAUUGACAUUCGUAGAAUAGAUUAUGUAUUGAAUUAAGAUGGAAGUAGUAAGCCUUAGUAUUUCGUUGUUUGAUAAUUGAUUUUAGAUAGCUAGAGUACAGUCAAUUGUAAUACUAACAGAUCCAAUUCAUAUAACCAUUCUUUUCUCAUGUUCGAACCCACCUCUAUUAGUUCAAUUGCUUUGGUAUAUUGAAGCUUGAACACAACAAGAACAACAUUUUGGCACCACUGUCAGGAAAAUGAUAACAAUAUGAAAUGUUAGAAAUUGAUUGUAUGGAAGAUGGAAUUAUAUGUUGAAUGAGAAUGUGAGAAGAACCAGUUUUAGGGUUACAAAUAUGUGAGUUAUAAUUCAAGGCAGUAUUGAUUUUGUAAAGAAGAAUGAAAGAUUAUGAGUGAUAAUCAUAAAGAAGAGGAUUAUCAAAGAAUUAAUUGUCAAGCGAAAGAAAGACAAGAGCAAUUACACAUAAGAAAUCUCCUAUAGGAACGACAAAAAGAAAUUGUAGGUCCAAGUAAAACCAAAGGAAGAAAAAUUCAAAUUCAAAUAGCAAGGAGACCAGUGAUAACACCAAUGGCCGCAGGAGUGCCAGGAGUACCAAUUGCUGUACAAAUGGGAGUAGUAGAAGACCGCACUACAAGUGUGGUACCAUUACCUACUUUUAGUAGUUGGUCGCGCUCUGAUCUUGAUCACUAUGUAUCUCAAUUCUUGACAGCCUAUGUGGCUAAUAAUGGUAGAAUUGAAGACAUUUAGUUGAGAUGGUUGCCAACAACUUUAAAAGAUACAACUUUUGAAUGGUAUAAUCGGCAACCAGUGGGUAGAUUUUUCAAUUGGGAUUCCUUGAGAAAUGCCUUCCUAAUCCAUUUUAGACUAAUUAGAUUUGAAGAUCGGCUUAGAGAAAGUUUGAUGAAUAUCAGGAUGUUUGUAGAAGAAUCAGUAGAGUCCUAUUAUGGCCGGAUUGUAGAUAUAUUUCGUAAAUGGCCAAAUAAUCAAAUGCCACAUGCGUUUAUAUUGUCGAUAUUAAUCAAUGGUUUGCAUCAACUACAAUUGAAAAUGUUUGUAAAAGAGGCUCGACCAGCUAUGGUAGAGGCAUCGUUGGUACAAGCAAAGGUGUGGAAAGAAUGUUAUUAUGAGCAAUUAUUAACAGUGGAGGCCACAAUGAUUCCAAGUUUAGAAAGCCAACAAAUACAACCGGAAAAUAUUUCGAUGGAUAAUUAUCCACAAAUGGCUGCCUCCAAUGUAAAGAAUGUUAUGUUGCAAAAACCAAUUAAUGCUACCCCACUUCAAGCAAUAGUGCCAAUAACAAUGACACCUUAUUUUACAUCACCAAUUUAUCAACAACCGGAGUUGUUCACAAAUGUGACUAUGAAAGAUCCAAAUAAAGCCUUGAUAUUAAAUCUAAUAAAGAAGAUGGAAGAAUUGGCCAUAAAUUUGGCUAAAGAUAAGGAGAAACGACAUAAGCCUUCUAAUACGAGACCUAAUGUAUGGUAUAAUAAUUGUAAGGGACAAGGUCAUUUUGAUACAGAAUGUCCAUCAUCUAGACAAACGGGUGUUUAAUGUACAUUUUGUGGAGGAAAGCACUAUACCCAAAACUGCUGGCAUUUACAAAGGCAACAAUAAUUCAAUAACCAAACGUUAAUACAAUCAACUCAAUAGGAUGUUAAUCAACUACACACUGGAAAUAUGGGUGGUUGGAAUAGUAAUCAUCCAAAUCGACCUAAUCAUGGCUUUGGAAAUUUUCAAAAUACUAAUUAUAAUAUGAUUUAUGGAACAAAUAUGCAGAACGGUGGAAAUAAUCAAAGGGGUAAUCUCCAAACUAUACCAAUUUAGCAGUCCAAUUCUCGACUAGUAACAACUGGUCAGCCAAAAUCAUUUACUAUGGCUACCUAGAAUCGGCCUAGUAGAUAUAUUCUAGUGGAGACUCCAAGUAUACCUGACGGUAUGGGCCAAAAACCACUACGUUGCUACUGGUGUCGAAAAAUUGGUCAUUAUACCAGUGAAUGCCCUAAUCCAAGGUUUAUAGACAAAUAUGCUUCAAUAUAUCAAAAUUACAAGCAAUCGAGUCAUUUUUAUUAUCAAUAUAAUGUUCUAUUUAACCCUAAUAAUUAUGAUUAGAAGAUAUAAUAGACUGUACAAAUUAUAGAGGAAAAAAUAACAAGACACAGGAAUCACUAGUUCAUUAGGUGGAAGUAGUCCAAGUUGUCCUUAUAAGAAAUCAGCACAGGGAUAAAUGAUCAAUUCAAAUAUUUGAAGAGCCAAUUCUUGUAAAUCGCGAUGGACUAUUAUCGAGCAAAAGUAACUAAGUACAAAUUUCGAGCAGAAAUCUAAUAUUAGACAUAGGUCAAUCCUCUCCAUUUAAUCUUGUCAAUAUAUUUGGUGGACCAUCGAAUUCCAAAGAACCAAUCUCAGCCUAAUUGGGAGAAUAAUCUUACCCGUUGAAAGAACCAAUUUUACAACCUCCGUCAAAUUUAGUUCUAAUAGCUUUAUUAAUUUCCAAUAUAGAAAAAACCAAUUUAUUUGCAUCGCUGUCUAGGACUAGGAAGAAGAAAUGGAUAUUGGGAAUUACCACUAAUACAGAACCAUAUGAUAUUCUAAAAGAUUUAGGCACCAUAUAUCCUACGAUCUCUAUGAAGCAACUAUUGGCGGUAGCACUUGAGUGCCAAACUAUCUUGAAUUCCUCAUUAAUUUGUCGCAGAUCUUGAAAUAAUGAAAUUUGAGAAGUAAGUUUGAAUCUCAAUCCGGGUGCAGCAAUGAUUGAUGUCUCAAUUGAUGGAGUGUUAGUAUCGGGAGUGUAAAUCUUAUGAAUGCCGCUAUAAUAAAGAAAUUGGGUUUGAAUCACUUAUUGCCUACUACAGUGGUUUUUAGAAUGGGUGACUCUAAUCGAGUUAAACCUAUGGAUAUUUUAUGAAGUAUUGAUACAGUAAUUAUGAGGAUUACCUAAAAAAUUGAUUAUAUUAUUUUUUGAUUGCGAAUCUCUAUAUUGUCAUACCUAAUUUUAUUGGAGCAACUAUGGUUGUAUCAAGCUAAAGCUCGAAAUGACUUGGGCCAUGGUACAUUGACAAUUGAGAAACGUAAUGAUAAAAUUGUGCUUCAAAUGUACCAUGUCCAAUAUCACGGAGAAACUCAAUUUUUCAGCUCAGAAUUCAUGUCGGAUUGUGAAGAUGAGUCUAUAGAAGAAGAAAUUGGUAUACCUGAUCUGAUUUAUGCUGAUAUAAGGCAAGUUGUUGAGCAUACUAGAGUAAAAUACCACUACACAAAACCGUGAGAGUAAUUAGUUCCUCCGGAUGUUAUUGACGAUUCUCAUCAUAUGAUUGCAUAUUGGAUGAAUAGACAGGAUAUUAAUCAUGUUAGUACUAUGGAACUGAAAUUGGAAAGUUCUAAUUUAUCAGAUUUUAUGAAAGAUUUUGGAAUUGAGUAGAAUAUUAUUCUAGAGACUCUUCAAAUUUCACGAUGUCAACCAAUUAAUUAAGGUACAAGGAAGGCUCUCCAAAUCAUUCAGAUUUACGAUGGUAUAAAAGGCAAGGAGAAAGAAAUUUGGGUGGAUUACUUUUUAAAGCAUAAAAUUACUUUCGCAUAGUUGUAUGCGGAUUUGAAAGAAAUUCUAGUUGAAGUUUGUGAGCAUCGAAUUAUAUUGGAGGAGAAUGCUAUACUAGUACGCCAAAGAUAACAUCAACUUAAUUCAAAAUACUCACUUAUGAUAAAAGAAGAACUGCAUAAACUCUGGGAGGUUGGAUUUAUCUAUGCAGUUCCUUUCAGUGAAUGGAUUUCACCAAUUGUUAUGGUACCAAAAAAGAAUGAAAAAAUUCACAUCUGUCAAGAUUUUUGCAAAUUAAAUGCGGCUACCAAGAAGGAUUAUUUUCCUUUACCAUUCACGGAUAGUAUAUUAGAUGCUUUCGCUGGACAUGAAUGUUAUUCAUUUUUUGAUGGAUUCUCUGGUUAUAAUCAAGUUAAAAUUACAAAAGAAGACCAAUUAAAAACUUCUUUUACUAUGGAUUGGGGGACCUAUGCCUAAAAGGUUAUGCUGUUUGGGCUUUGUAAUGCAAUAACUACAUUUCAAAGGAUAAUGACACAAGCGUUCCAAGAUUAUCUACGAAUUUCAAUGAAAAUAUUUUUAGAUGAUUUUUGUACAUUUAGUAUGAGAUCCAUGCAUUUAGAAUGUCUAGGUCAAUGUUUGAAUCAAUGUACUAAAUAUGGAAUUUCUUUAAAUUCAAAAAAGUACCAAUUUGGUGUACCUUCUGGUAAACUGUUAGAUCAUAUAGUUUUGAUAGUAGGUAUUGCUACAGAUCUGGAUAAAAUAAAGAUUAUAGUAGAAUUAAAGCAACUAGACACUGUUAGAAGUGUUUGAGUAUUUGUCGGCCAUGUCAGUUAUUAUCGGGGAUUUAUCUAUCUAUUUGCAGUUAUAUGCCUUCCCUUAAUAAAUCUCUUGAAGAAACCACCAACUGAUGGGACCAAUCUAGUUUGGACAAAGGAAUGUACAAUUGCAUUCAAAACAUUAAAACAAAAAUUGGUUUCAGCACCAAUAUUGGUAGCACCUUGUUGGACAAAAUCAUUCCAAGUUUAUGUGGAUGCAUCUAAUGUCGCGAUUGGUUCUGUGUUAAGCCAGAAAGAUGAUUGGGAUUUUGAUCACUCUAUUUAUUAUACAAGUCGUCAAUUAGUAGAAACUGAAAGAAAUAAUACAACAACAGAAAGACAAGUAUUGGAGUUGAUUUAUUUUAUACAAAAGUUUCGACAUUAUCUUCUUGAUUAUAAAUUUUUUUCCAUGUCGACCAUGAUGCUUUAAAAUAUAUGAUUAAUAAGCCUCAUUUGAGUAGUCAUAUUACACGAUGGGUUUUACUCUUGCAAGAAUUUAACUUUACUAUUCAAGUAAGAUCAAGAAAAUCACAUUCUAAUGCGGAUAACAAGGACAAGAACUUGAUAAAAAAAGUAAUUCAGACAAGUGAGCCUUCACUCAAAAAAAGGUAACAAAAUCUAAAUAAACAAGUAUAUAUAUUGAAAGAGAAACUGAAAUGGCUAUUGCCAAAAGACAAGAAAACUAGAGACCCUUGAAACUAGAUUAGAAGCAAGAAAAGAGUUGACAAGAGUGAAGAAGGCUUCACUCUUGUCUCUAUAUAUACUAUCUAACUAAAGGCUACGUGGUGACCUUCUAUAAGACCUCCAAUAAGUGUUGACUUUGUAGGAAACAUGCCUUGACUUACAAGGCAAGUUUUUCUACGUGUGGGCCACAUUAUUAGCUUCGUCUUCAAGCUAACAACAUCUAUGGCACAUGGCCAACUUGUUGACCACGUUUCUAAUCCAAAAAGUUAAUUAAAGACACCUAUAAAAUCAAAGCAGUAUUUAUGAAGCUUCUAAGAAGCUUCCAUAUUAAAUACUAUAGAAUUAAAUUACUUUUAUGUACUUUUACUUACUUCUACCUAUUUAUAUAUGUAAUUAUUGAUUUACAUGAGUAUGUUCAUGACAUUACCCCCUUCUUCUAGGGAUGAGUUCUACGAGGAGCAGUCAUCAUAUGUUGAGAAAAUCUAUGAUGCGACAAAUUACAUUCGCCACACACUCUGAUUUUUGUUCUCUUUGAAGUUGAUUGAUAGGGCCUCUCAGCCAUUGGUAGUGUCCUAUACCAGGACAGAAAGACCACCGAGUUAUUUGAUCAUUGUUGAGGCCUUCAUAACUUCCUUCAAAUAGAACAUUUGGAACACCAUCAGGAAUUGUUCUUACUUCUAGUAAAAUAACCAAAUAUUGGGACUCCCUUUCCAAGUCGUCAUACUAAACGCGUUGUAUCUUACCAUCUAUUUGAGGAAGAACACAUCGUUCUUGAAGAUCUUCAUCUCGAUUCCGUCGUCUUGAAGGUUGUGACAAUCAUAAUGUCUUAUCUGACACGUCAAUAAUUGAAGGCUCUUGAAUUGAAUCCGCUAGUUGUUGAUUUUCCAUCUCUCGAGCAUCACAACUACAAAAAAACUACAAACAAGGAUUGAAAAUAGAAUGUUAUCUUGCCUAGAUGUUUUUUCUUUUAUAAAUAAGGUUUUUUAUCUUGAUUUUGAUAGAUGUCGUCGAUGAAAAGCCUCCACCGCUGUCGUGUUGUAACACGAGUAUACAAUGAAAAUAAAAAGAAAGGGGAAUUUUAUUAAUAUUCAGUUACCUCGAAUAUUGGGAGCAUCGACCAACUCCUGUACAAAUACUGAGUGGUCAGAUUCAGUCACCCCGUUACAGUCAUUCGGGGCAUACUGAAAUGCUCCAUUCAAUUCCAAUAACGGGAGUCAGCAGGAAGAGAAGGACCAAUUCACACGACGGGUUCGAAGAGCCAAUUGGAUCCAAUUUUGAGAAUCCAAUCCGGGUCCUCUUACCCAAUAUGGGACCUGAAUUGGCCGGGCAACCCAAUGCAGACCCAAUUACGGGAACAUCCAGGUUAUUACGGGCAUCUUACCCAAUAUGGGACCUGAAUUGGUCGGGAGACUCAAUGUGGUCCCGAUUACGAGUUUCGAUUCUGUUUCGGGCUGUGUUGUUCUCUGUGCCGUUUCAAGGAACGUUGUUUUCGAUAAAAGGAUCUCUUAAAGGUAAAAAUGGGGGAGAAAAAAGCUCUGACAGUGAGAGCCAAUUUCAGAUCUAAGCCUUGAUGGCGAGAGCCAAUUCCGGAUCCAAGACGGAAGAUUGAAGAAAUUCAGAGGAUAAGGUUAGGAGAGAGAGUUUUUUUUGGGGGGGGAUUUUUUCUUUUCUGGAAAUCGGGGGGAGCUAGUUUUCAAGCUUUUGCAAGGUUACUAGUUGGGUUUUUUAUUGGAGGUUUUUGAAGAUCAAGGGGAUUAGAUAGGGGAGCUUCAUGCUUCGGGUCGGUGAAGGAAAGACAUAGAAUUUGGGUUUUUCUUCUUCGUAGAGUUUUGGGAAGAUUGAGGCAAUCGUUGCUGAAGUCAGUAUUGUAAUGGUGAAUCGGGAUUUUUAAUGAAGUGGGUUUGAAUACUCUUGACUGUUUUGUGAAAUCGAGUCACGUCUGUGAUUGAAGGAUUAAAAGGGUGUCUAUAGGAUUGAGUAUGCGGAGUGAAUGAAAUUUAUUGAGUUAAUCUAACAAGACAGUCAGUGGAUACAAGAUCGUAAGUACAAAGCGGUAUUGAAGAUUAACAGUUUGGAUUGUUCGGGGUUCUCUGUAACGUCUAGAGACCUACCGGCUGGGACAAAAAGGACUUCGACAAGCAGACGAAGAGCAUCCGUAUAGAUUUACGGUACAUUGUUGCAGUCGUUUAUAUUCCAGCAGUCGAAACUGAUAGACUGCUUGACUAUCGGCAAAUCUCCAUACUACCUUCUACAACCAGACGCCCGGUGCGUUCUCGAGCAGAAAAGCACGUAAUACGACACCGCCUUUGCUGCAUUUGCAAAAUUCAUUACUAGCUCCCAUGUGCAUUUACUUAUAUCAUAUCUAUACUAAUGGACAAGAUAUUCUAAUUUAUUUUGGCGCCACCUUGAAUCUAAGACUUCUUCUACUUCAAACUCUUCAUUACUGUCCACUUCUAUAGGAGGAUGAGGAGCUUGUCGUCUUCUUGGUAUGUCCAUUCUCUUGUAUGGUUCAAGAAGAGAUACGUGGAAUACUAGAUGGAUUUUCAUUGACUCCAGUAGAUAUAAAUGAUAUGCGACUGGAUUGAUUUGUGAAGAAAUAGAAAAUGGUCCCAGCCUUUGAUAAUCCAAUUUGUCACAAGGACGAGUGGUCUCGAUAUUGUAACGAAGUAGCCAUACCUUAACACCCAAGUGGAAUGGUGGUUGUUUCUUUUGAUAGACAUCCGCAUUGACCUUCUGUUGUUCUUGAGCUUCUUUUAACUGCACCUUCAUCAUUGCAUGUAGCUGUGAUAAAUGAAUCGCCAAAUCUUUCGCAGCAGGAUUAUCAACUUUUAGAAAGUCAAAAGUAUCAAGUCAUGGGUGAUAACCGUAAUUAGCAAAAAAAGGUGUUUAUUUUGUAGAAGAAUAUACUGUGUUAUUAUAAGCAAACUCUUCCAAUAGCAAAAGAGUUGUCUAAUCAUCUUCUUGGUAAUUAAUGAUACAUCUUAAAUAUUGCUCCAAAACUUAAUUAACACGCUCCGCUUGUCCAUCAAUUUGAGGAUGGAAUGUUGAAGAUAGUUUUAUAUCCACUUUUAGAAUCAUCAAAAGAGUCCGCCAAAAUCUUGAUACAAAUUGAAUUCCUCUAUUUGAUAUAAUAUCCUUUGAUAAUCCAUCAUAGCAAUAGAUAUUGUCAAGAAAGAGCUUAGUUAUUUCUUCACCUGUGAUAGAUUUUGUACAUGGUAAAAAAUGUGCCAUCUUGAUAAAAUGAUCUACUAUCACGAAUAUAGAGUCAUAAGAACCUGAGAUUGGAAGAUCCGUGAUGAAGUUCAUAGAAAUUGAAGACCAUGGUUAUUCUAGAAUGGAUAAUGGCUGAAGAAGUCCAAAAGGUCGAUGACGAGGAGUUUUUGAUCUUGAGCAAACAUCACAUGAUUGUACAAAAUCUUUGACUGCCUUCCACACUUAAGGCCACCAAAAAUCCCUAGAUAUCAGCUCCAAAGUCUUAUUACAUCCAAAAUAUCCUGCUGCUGGGAAGUCGUGAUGAGCUUGAAGAAUACGUAAAUAUACUUCACCUUCUGGAAUAUAUAGGGGUCCUUCGAAAUAAAGUAGGUUGUUCUAGAAUUCGAAUUUAGAGGGAUCAUGAGAUUUAGAAGAAUUUUUCUUGAUAUCAUGAACAAGAGGGUUUGAAGACAUACUUAACUAGACUUGCUUGACAAAAGUUAAAUCAACAGUCAAUGUUGAUUUUAUUGCUCGAAGAUGAAAUUACUCCAACUUCAAGAGAACCGUUCUUUGUUGCUCAAAAGCUACAUCGCCUUCUUUUGGUGCAAGAUAAGAAUGUCUAGAUAAGGCAUCAGACAAACCUUGUUGUUUUCCUGGCCGAUAAGUGAUGAUGAACUCGAAUCUUAAUAAGAAGAUGCUGCAACGAGCUUGACAACGAUUUAAUAUGCGUAUUGACAUGAAAUACUUGAAGUUCUUGUGAUUUGUAUAUACGGUGAGUGGAUUGGAAGCGCCUUCUAGAUAAUGAUGCCAUUCUUAAAAAGAAUCCACAAUUACAAGAAGUUCUUUGUCAUGGAUCUCAUAAUUGAUUUCUACUGUUGAGAAUUUUCUUGAAUGAAAGGCUAUUAGAUGAAGUUUAUCAUCUGUUCCCAUUUGUGAUUAAACCGCACUCAAAGCAAAAUCUGAUGCAUCUGUUUUCAUAAAGAAUGCUUUGGAAAAAUCAACACGAUACAAGAUUGGUGCAGAGACAAACAUUCUCUUCAAAGAUUCAAAAGCAAUUUCUACUUUUUGAUUCCAUUGGAGUUUGUCUUUACAAGUCAAACGUGUAAGUAGAGCUACAAUUUGAGAGAAGUCUUUGAUGAAGAUCCCAUAGUAAUUGGCAAAUCCCAAAAAGCAUUGGAUAUUUCUUACCGUUUUUGAGAUCUUCCAAUCUAUAAUAGUUUGAAUUUUCUUAGGAUCCAUCAUAAGUCCAUCAUUUGAAAUGAUGUAACCUAAGAAAUUGACUUGAGUAGUGUAAAAUACACACUUUUCUAUCUUGGCAUAGAAUCUUGCAUCUCUUAAUUUUUGUAAUACACGACGAACAUGAAGUUCAUAUUCUUCAGAAUUUGAAGAAUAGAUCAAGAUGUCGUCUAGAUAACAGACUACAAAAUCGUCCAAAAAAUCUCAAAAAAUAUCAUUCAUUAGAUGUUGAAAAGCUGCUGGUGCAUUUGUAAGUCUAAAAGGCAUGAGGUUGUAUUCAAAAUGUCCAUACCUAGUUCAAAACGCAAUCUUCCAUUCAUCUCCUUCUUCGAUGCAUACUAGAUUGUAUGCUCCCCAGAGAUCUAUUUUUAUAUAGAUCUUAGCUUGAUUCAGCUGAUCAAGAAGUCCAGAUAUUGAAGGUAGUGGAUAACUGUUCUUGAUGGUAAUCUUGUUGAGUCCUCGAUAAUCAAUACACAUCCACAAUGAUCCAUUUUUUUUCUUCACAAAUAGAAUUGAAGCUCUUAUCAGAGAUUUAGAAUGGCAUAUGAAAUUCUUGGCUAGAUUUUCUUCAAUAUACUCCUUGAGUUCAGUCAAUUCAUUUUGUGAUAAACUGUAGAUUGGUCCGAAUGGCAGUUGUGCUCCUUCUUGAAGGUCAAUUGAGCAAUCAUAGGGACGAUGUUUUAGGAGUGUAUCCACAUUCUUUUUUUCAAAUACAUCUUGAAAUUCUUAAUAUUGGCUUGGAAUACCACGUGAAGUCUUUCCACCGUUAGAAAUAGAUGUGGCAUAAAUAAUAUAUAGUGAUUCUUUCAUAGCAGCAUGUAAGAAAGCUUUUGCACCUAUGAACAAGGAUUUAAUUGAACUAGACUUAUGACUCUCUACUUAAUUAACUACACUGUUAGUUAUACUUUUAGAAAAAGUAAGAGUUCGAGAAAUCCAAUCUAUUUGAGGAUUGUAUUUUUUUAACCACGAUAAACCUAAAAUAACUAGAUUAGAUGGAGAUCUAAUGAUAUUAAAUACUACAAAGCUAUUAUGACCAUUGAUUAUUACUUCUAUAGGAAGGGUUUCAUGAAUAAUAUCUCCAAAAGAUAAUACAUGACCAUUUAUGACUUCUAUAUGAACAGGUUUAGUUUUCUUUACUAAAAAUAUGCUAUAUCUUUUAAUAAAUUCUUCAUCUAAGAAACACGCUGAGGCUCUUGAAUGUAACAAGGUAGAGGCUUUGUAAUGUUUAGGUCCUAAAAUAACAUUUAAUAUAAAACAAGGAGAGGGCUUUGAGGAGAGAAUAGGACCUUUAUUAGAUGUUGUGCAAGGUUCCAACACAUGGUCCCUAUUGUAGCUGGACAAACUCAUUUUUUGACAUAUUGUCUUCUUUGACAGCCAUACUCCUCAUUUUGUGGUUGCGUUGUUUCUUUGGACAAUGUUAAGCAGUGUGUUUUGGUUCUCCACAAUAUAAACAUAAUCCUUCUUGAUGACGGUGAGUCUUUUCUUGGUUAGUAAGAGGUUUGAAACAUACUGCAUCAAUUUGCAUAUCCUCUACUUCCGAAUGUAUGUGUUGAAGAGGUGUUGGUAUUGCCAUUGAAUUAUAAUAACGUUGAGGUCCACUUGUAUGCUUCUCAAAUCAAAAUUCAAAAAGGUGAUUGUCGCACUUCACAGCAAAGUCAAUUGUUUGACUCAAUGUUUGAGAAUCAAGUAGGUUGAGCAUUAAUUUUUUUACCUCAUAUUAUAAUCCGUAGAGAAAUUGGUUAAUAAGUGCAGCAUCAUCCCACUUGAUAUGAGUUGUAAGUUAUUGAAAUUGUGAAGCAUAUAACGUUACUGAUUGAUUGUCUUGUAGUAAAAUAUGGAUCUUAUUGGUUGCAAUACGAAUUGCAUCAUGUUCUCCAUAUAUGGAUCGAAACUCCACCAGAAAAGCCUCUAGAUUAUCCAAUAUUAGAUCUCGUCAUUCAAGAAAACAUAAAAACCGCGAUAGUGUUGAAUCUAAAAUAAGCGUAUCAAUGAAUCUAACUUGCGAUCUUGGAGUUGGAUAGCUUUGGGAUUGAAGUUCAAUCACAAGUUACACUUAAUUGAUAAAUCCUUAAAACAUGGAUCUGGUGCCAUCAAACUUCUCGGAUAGGACAAUUCUUGGUUUUUUAACAUUAAAAGGGCAUUCCACCAUAGGAAAAAGGAUAUGAUUUGGUGUAGAUAUUGAAGCAGCUCCAAUCAUUUCUAUAUCUUCACUUCCUGCCAAUCUUGUUGCUUCUUGUGGUGGUAAAUUGAGUUGAUGCAUCGCAAGCAUUAACUCCCUCAAUUACUCUUACAUUUGUGCCAUUAUACUUUUCAUUUCAACAAGUUCUGCCAUGAUAACACUUAGAAAAGAAAAGAUGUCUAAUAUUGCUCAAGAUAAAUAGAAGAGAGGACUUGAGAACAAAGAAAAUACUAAGGACAAUAUCAAUUUAGAAGAGGAUAAUCCACAACUUCUAAUAUGCUUAUAUCUUAUCAAGAAAAAGAGAUAAUCCACUUUUAAUCAAGAUUAGACAAAGCUAUGAUAUUAUACGUAUACUCUUGUCAAUCUCUCAAGGAUAAGUACUCGAUGAAAAAAGUAAUUCAGACAAGUGAGCCUUCAUUCAAAGAAAAGGUAACAAAAUCUAAAUAAACAAGUAUGUAUAUUGAAAAAGAAACUGGAAUGGCUAUUGCCAAAAGACAAGAAAACUAGAGACCCUUGAAACUAGAUUAGAAGCAAGAAAAGAGUUGACAAGAGUGAAGAAGGCUUCACUCUUGUCUCUAUAUAUACUAUCUAAUUAGAAGCUACGUGGUGACAUUCUAUAAGACCUCGAAUAAGUGUUGACUUUAUAGUGCACAUGCCUUGACUUACAAGGCAAGUUUUUCUACGUGUGGGCCACAUUGUUAGCUUGAUCUUCAAGCUAACAACAUCUAUGGCACAUGGCCAACUUGUUGACCACGUUUCUAAUCCACAAAGUCAAUUAAAGACACCUAUAAAGUCAAAGCACUGUCUAUAAAGCUUCUAAGAAGCUUUCAUAUCAAAUACUAUAUAAUUAAUUUACUUUUAUGUACUUUUACUUACUUCUACCUAUUUAUAUAUGUAAUUAUUGGUUUAUAUGAAUAUGUCAGUGAUAGUGGACCAUUUAUCUCAGUUAUCUAAUAUAUUGGAUAAUGAACCCAUUAACGAUGCACUAGCCAAUGCAGAACUGUUUGCGAUAGAUGUAAUUACUCUGGAGUAUAGUGAAAUAAUUUAAUAGUUGAUAUUUCAAACCUUUCCACCUAAAUUUAAUGAAAAGCUUAAACUAUGCUUAAUAUUAAGAUGUGCACCUUAUAUGAUGAUUGGUAAAGCUUUAUAUAAACAAGGCAAGGAUGGAGUUUUGUGACGCUGUAUUUAUUAGGCUAAAGUGUGUAUUAUAUUGAAAGGUUGCUACUUAGACAGUUGUAGUGGACAUUUUGCGGGGGACAAAACGGCUCAUAAAGCUUUACAAGGUGGUUAUUGGUGGCCAACAAUGUUUACAGAUGCCCACCAAUUCAUCCAUCAUUGUGAUCUAUGUCAGAGAAUGGAUCGACCUACUGGAACUUCAGCAAUGUCAUUGGUACCAAUUCUCGCUCAAGCGUCUUUUGAAAAAUGAGAAAUUGAUUUUGUGAGACCAAUUACACCAACCUCGAGAAAUGGACAAAAAUGGUAUAUACUAGUAGCAACAGAUUACAUAACAAAAUGGGCUAAAGUCGUAGCUAUGAAAAUUGAUAGUGCAAGUACAGUAGCAACUUUUUUGUAUGAAAAUAUUAUUACAUGGUUUAGUUGUCCAUGAGAAUUGGUUAGUGAUUGAGGAACUUAUUUUAUAAAUAGUACAAUCGAAGCACUUACAACUAAAUACGAGAUAAAACAUCGUAAAACUACACCGUAUCACCCUAGAGCCAAUGGACAAACAAAAAAGACUAAUGGAAUUUUAUGUAAAAUCUUAACAAAGACAGUUUCAGAAACGGGAACGAAUUGGGAUACUAAGUUGUUCGUAGCUUUAUAGGCAUACCAUAUUGUGUAUAAAGUUACUACCAAUGCUACCCCUUUUCAAUUGGUUUAUGGCUAAGAAGCAAUAUUACCUAUUGAAUUGGAAGUCCAAAGUUUACGAAUUGCUAUAGAUAAUAGAUUGGGUGACCAUGAUUCAUUACGGCACCAUUUAAAAGAAUUAGAAAAUUGGAUGAAACUAGAGCCAAUGCAUUAAUGAUAAUGGAAACUACAUAAAAAUGAAAGAAGACUUAUUAUGAUAGUAAGCUUAGACCAAAGGCUUUUAUGCCAAAUGAUUUGAUACUUCUUUAUGAUAGUCGAUUUAAAAAAUUUCUAGGAAAAUUUCAAGUUCGAUGACAUGGGCCAUAUCGAGUUAUUGACAGAUUUCCAAAUGAUUCAGUGUAAUUAGAAGAUUUUAUGGAUACUAAAUUUACAACACAGAUCAAUGGCAAUCGGCUUAAACUUUAGUAUACAUAAACCCGGGAUGGAUUUUUUGUUAUAAAAAGGAGAGGGGAUAAAUAAUGAUGAUGAUAGGGUAGUAAAUGUAAGGUGAUAAGAAGUGUGAGGAAUAUGGAUGGGAUUUAUGAUAGCGGUAGUAAAGAUUGGUUGUUAGACCUAGUUAGUAGGGUAUUUCAUCAUGACAAAUCGUGAGAAAUAAGGAGGAAUCAAUCCAAUUGAUUGGACCAUAGUAAGGAGUAGGAGGGGGGCUCUUGAUAAGCAUCGUGUUUUUUUUUGUGUAAGUAGCCAUGUAUGUAUGUUUUGAGAGAUUAGUUGUAAGUGCUUGCUUGUAUUAGAAUACAAUGGCGAUUGAGAAGACUAAGAGGCAGUUGAAUAAGGACGAGAAACAACACAAUGUAAGGUCCAAGGAUGAGUUGCCACCAUUAGAGUGUAUUACUGUGACUAAUAUGGAGUCGAUCCGAUUGGAUGUUUGAUGGACUAAGGAGAAGUAGCAAGAUUUUCGAGGAGUGCAUAGGCAUGGGUCUUUACGUAUUUUGUAAAACUUAUCGCAAAUUGAUGUUGCGCUAGUGGAUAUUAGGGUUAAGGAGAAGUGGAUGGUGGAAAAGGAGAAGGUGGCAAACACGGUGUCUGAGAAAGCAAAGAUGGAUACCGAUUGGAAGGAACGACAAGAGCGGCUGCAGAUAGAGGUUGCGAUGUUGCAAACUAAACUAGCUACAUUAGCGAAGGAAGCCAAUAAUUUAGUGCAGACCAAUAUGCCAAUUUCAACAACAAUAUCUUCAGAGAUACCUUUGAAACCAACAGAAGAAUGGCAGAAGAUGUUGGACGAGCGUGAUAACCAAAUUACUCGUCUUAAGUCUCAGGUAUGGAAAUCGAGUUUAUUGAAUGAAGAUUUGACCAUGCGUUUGGAUGGAGAAUCCUCAAAUACCGAGGUAGAUGAUAAAAAUGUAGUAGAUGAGGAGGUCACCAAUUCAAAAGGUGGUAAGUCAACGCUGCUACGUCUUUAUAAGCUGAGGCUAAAUAAUGUUUGCGAGGAUGUUGCACAGAUAGGAGUGGAACUAUGUAGAAUAUAUAAAUAAAUUUUGUGGUAAGUUACUAAUUGAUUAUUGAUAACCUUGAGAAUUAGACUUAUGAUUAGACAAUUUAGUUGAUAACAGUAGGUUGUUAGUGGAACAAAUGGUUAAGAAUUCAAAGAUUCAUAACUUUUGGAAUCUGCUGGCCAAUGGUCCAUCUUUUGGUAAGAUAAAGAUGUUGAGAAAAGAGAAAUCAAGGCCAGACUAUAAUAGUCGUAAGCCGGGAUAAGCUUAAUACUACCUCUUUAUUUUCUUUGCUUUUAUUAUUUUCUUAUGAAGAAUUAUGAUUGAGAGAAGUAUUGUUGACAUUGUGAUUAGAAUAUUAUAGAAUAUGACUUUGGACUGACAGUUUUGGAGAAAAUCUAUGACCUUGAGAAUUGAGAUUAUCAAAUUAUGUUGUGUUAAGUAAAGAUAUUGAAUUUUGUGUGGUGAAUUGAGAAACUAAAUAUAAUAAGUAAGCUAGAGAUCAGUAAUUGAAUAUAUAUAAAUCGCAAAGAGAGUAAGUGGGAGAUGAACUGAUAAGAAUAUGGAAGUAUUGUUGAAUUGAUAUUCGUAGAAUGGAUUAUAUAUUAAAUUAAGAUGGAAGUAGUAAGCCUUGGUGUUUUGUAGUUUGAUUAUUGAUUUCAGAUAGCUAGAGUACAGUCAAUUGUGACACUAACAGACCCAAUUCAUAUAACCAUUCUUUUUCCAUGUUCGAACCCACCUCUAUUAGUUCAAUUGCUUUGAUAUAUUGAAGCUUGAACACAAUGAGAACAAUAGUCUUUUCCACAAUAAAAUCUCUCAAUACCUUAUUCAUCUCAUUCAUCAUAUGCGCAAUUGAGUUGGUUGCAACUUCAGGAAGAGUAUACAUUUUAACUAAUUUAAGUAGUAUUUUCAUUGUUGUCAUAUCUCUACUUCCUUCUGUAAGUUGAAAUUGAUCAUAGCCUGAAUAUAAAUCACCCAUUGAAUAGAUUGCCCUUCCUGCAAAUGCCUUAGCAAAUUCAUCUAUUAUAGGCCCAAUUCUUAUAUUUUUGCUUCAUUAGUUGCAUAUCUUGAAUAAAAUGUAAUGACUCAUUUUUCUUAGGCAUUGUAAACCAUCGACUAAAAUAUGGUGCAAAAGAGGGCUCCAAAAUCUUCAUCAUUAUCUUUUCUUUUAAUAAUUCCACCAAGCUUGGUAAAUAUAUCCUUGGUACUAGAAUUGGCCUUAGAUUCCAAGGUACAUAUGGUACAGUGAAAAUAACCAUAGGUGUUAUAAUAUUUGGAUCCACACACCCAGUUUCAUAAGAUUCAAAGACAAAUGAUCUAUCUUGUUUUGUCAAUAUCUCUUUGAAACAAGUAAUUUCCUCUGGAAAUAAAGAACUAUCAGAACCAAUCUUCAAUUCUUCAAAAGUCUCUUUAGUAAACUUGUAACAAAUGUUCUUUGGAUCUCUGAAGUUCCUCUCUCUUGAUGCUUCUUCUAUUUGUUCUUUAAAAUCUUUUAGCAAAGGUCCGACAACCGGUUCAACUUUUUUAUCUACUGUCUUAUAUUUUGGCUCAACUAUAACCUCCGAUGCUUGAAAAGAUUCAAUCAUAUCAUAAACUUUUCUUGAAUGAAUUGAUAUAACUUUAUUAUUAUUACCUAAUCCAAUAGACGCAAUCAAUUACAAAGGAUCUUCCAGUCCAUUUUUUUUAUAAAUACUAGUAAUCUUUUCAUUAUCUUCUAAUAUUCCUAACCUAUGCAAUUCUCUUUUAAUAGUACUUAAUUCUUUUUUUUAUUAUUUUUAAGUCAUCAAUCUUCUUAUAUAUAAUGCUUCUAAUUUCAAAAACGCUAAUAAAUCUUCUAUUAAAAGCACCUAUAUCUUGCGAGAGUACCUCUCUUUCAGUACUUCUAUAAUCUUGUUUUAUAGCGGUACCUUCAAAAAAUCCUUGAAUUCUUCAACAACCCUUGGCAAUGGAUUUUCUCUCAAUUUAUCUCAAUUCCGCUCAUGAUUUGGAUGCAUAAUCAAAAACUGUACUACCCUCCUCCCAUCCUCACUACAAAUUCGUACAUAAGCUAAACCAUCAUCAAGUAUAUUUGUUUCCAUUCAAGUUGCAAUAAUAUAUAGUUGUCCCAAAAUAAGAGGAUAAGAUGUUGUAUUUUGAACAAAAAAAUUCUACUCCAUUGCAAUAUCACCAAUCCAAAUUUUUACAUCCGGGUAAGUACCAUAUAACUCUCUACAUGUAUUAUUGGCUGCCCGUAUUGUCCACCCAUGCUCCAUGUCAAUUAGCCACCUUUGCUUCAUAUAAAGAUCUUUAGACAUAAGCUUUACCUCUAAACCAUGGUCAAUCAAAGCAACAACCGAUUCAUCUAUAUUUCCAAUCUUAACUAAUACCUCUGUAGUUGCUCUAGCCCAAUGCUUUCGAGUAUAAUGACUUAAAACCUCUCUAUCUUUAUUACCUUGAUCAUCAAAACGUACCCUUUGAUUAUAAUUCCUCUUUUCACUUGUUGAUUGUUUAUAACAAUUAUCAAAUACAUCUUCUUCACCUUCGUAUGUGUGUGCAUCAAUAACAAGAUUUAAUCCAACUUCUCCCAUUAAUUGCCUCUUUCAUUUAAUACUCUCAAUAAUGACAUCAUGGAAUUCUUUCUUGAUAAUUUCUAAAAUUUCUUUCAAUAUAAACUCAACCUUAGCAUUGAGUACACGUUCCUCAAGCACUCCCUUUAAAUCUGUUGUUGCUUCAAUAUGAGAGAGUAGUUUAUAAGUUUUCAAUUUAUCUUUAUCUUUCAUCUCUAUUACUUUUUCUUCUGAUAUUAUUGAAGUAUCCUUUGUUGAAAAUUCUUAUGAAGCUGAUGCAUGAGCCUUAUCUCCUCGAGUUUGCCUUUUAGAAGAAUUUUCUUCUCUUGAAUCAUCAAAAUUUCCUCUUCUCUUUUCUUCCAUUAAAGCUUCAUGUUGGCUUUUAGAAAAAUAUGCAUGUACUAACAAAGCUUCUACAAGAUCCUCCCAACCCGUAGUACCACAAAUUGUUGCAGUAAUUUUUAAUAAAGCUUCCUGUGGCAUCUUUUCUUUUUGCAUUGUAGAAAUAGCACAAGACCAAAGUCCACUUGGUUGAACAUUUCUAACAAAAUUUUGUCUGCCAUCAUUAUCCACCCUAGUUCCAUAACUCACAGCUUCUAUUGCUGCAAUUUCAUGUGUUGCCAAAUAGUCUCUAACUUAUGCUUUCAUGCAUCCUUUACCAAAGUUGGUUUAGAAAAGAUCACCAGUAUCUUUCAAUAGAACCUUUCCAUCUUUCCAAUAAACAAUGUCUUAUUGAACCAUCUCAUCAAAUUCACCACAAUCUUUUCAAGAAUGAAAAUCAUCAUUAUACCAAAUACAUCUUUAUUCAUACCCUUGUACUAUAGCAAGUUCAAAUAAUUGAAUCAUCUCUUUCUCAGAAACGCAAUUCAAUUCCAUUUCCCACACAUAACAUCUUAAAUAUUUGGAAAUAUCCCUCCUAUCAAAUUGGUCAACCUUGUUAACCACUGCUUGCAAUGCUUUGGUUACCAAAGUCUCUUUGCGAUCAUUGCCCUGUUGCUGUUGGAUAAAUAAUGUAAAUGCUUGAAACAUUUUUGCAAUGUUUGGGUCAAGGUACAUGCCUUGUUUACUAGUAGAAAUUCUACUUGAAGUUGGGCUUGAAGAUCCACUUGAAGCUCCAUCCAAAGCUCCAUUAAAAAUUCCAAAUUCAACCUUCUUCUCUUCUUGCGCCAUCAAUUUCAAAUAACCACAAAUAUAAUCCAAUACCUUCCACCCCAAACUUUCACAUCAGAUUUACCACUUAUGUCAUAUUACGUAUUAUAUUAUCGAGGAAUAUAUUGGUAUCGUAUUGUAAUAUGACUAUAUAGUGAAAAUAUAAAUAAAAAAGAUUUUAUUAAUAUUUAAUCAUCUUGGAUGUUAGAAACAAUGGCAAAUUCGAGUACCAAUAUUCAAGGGCCAGUUAAUGACAUCUCAUUGUAAGCUAUACCAUCGAACGUGAUAUCAGUAAUAUAUUCCACCGGCAUCAUCAAACCAAGUACCCUCUGUAUCAACAGGACAACCAUGAUCAUUUUCUAAUCCUACAUAGAACAAGCCUAGUAGGUAUAUAUCGAUGGAGAUACCCAAUAUGCAUGAUGGGGGUAUAAGAAGACGACUUCGUUGUUUCCGAUACAAACAAAUUGGUCAUUAUACUAAUGAAUGUUCCAAUCCCAGAGCCAAUGAUGAUUACACGUCAGUGUGUGGAAAUUGCAAGCAGUCGAGGCAUACUUAUCAGCAAUGUAAUGUUCCGUUCAAUUUUAAUAAUCGAGAUCAAUAGAUCAAAAGCCAAGAAAAAAAUUGAAGAGAUAAAUCGAGGUCCUCAAGAUUCUCUACUAAAAUGGGUGGAAUGUGUCCAAGCCAUUCUUACAAGGAGUCGGCAAAAGGGGAAAGGACCAAUUCAACAUUUGGAUGAGCCUGAUGCGAAGGGCCAAUUUGAUCCAAUUUCGAGGACAUCCAAUCUAAGUCUUGUUACGAGCUUCUUAUCCAGUAUGGGACCUGACUCGGUUGGGCAACCCAAUGAGGUCCCGAUCAUAGAGGCUUCAGUUCUAUUUCAAGCUAUUCCGUUCUCUAUGCCGUUUUGAGGAAAUGUCCUUUCCGUAGAAAGAUCCUCUUAGAGGCGAAAUUCCAAAGAAGCACGAUCUGCUAUUCCAAUUCAGAAGUCCAGGGCAGAAGAAUAGAGGAUUUGGGAUCGAAGAGCUAGCUUCAAGCUCCUUUGAAAGAUGUAAGACUUGGUUUCAUAGAGUUUGGCAAGACUUUGCAAUCAUUGUUGAAAGUCAGUGUUUGUAUUGGUGAUUUGGGUUUUUUGCAAUAAAGUUAGGGAUAGUACUCUUGACUGUUUUGUAAAAUUGGAGAAACAUCUGCGAUUGAAAUUUUAGAGGUAUCUAGAUGGUUGAGUAUGCCAAGCACAUGCAAAAAAUUGUGUUAAUCUAAUAGUAUGGAUAGAGGAUAUUUGAUCGUUAGUGUAAAGAGAUAUCAGAAGUUGGCAGAUUGGGGCUGUUUAGGAUUUUUGUGAUAUCUGGAGAUCUACUAGCUGGAAUAAGGUAAAUUUUAGUGUGGUAAGUUGGGGACUUAAAGGCGGAGCUGCACACAAAGUUUGAAUGAGAAUUAAUGGUUGAGGAAGGUAAAAUUACAAUUCAAAGUUCGUCAUCAACUUUCUGGGCGGCAGUCAAGGGACAUCAGUGUGGAUUUAUGGCGUUUUCUUGCAAUCUGGAAGUUGGAUUGGAUUAAAACUUCUUGAGCAUUUAGAAGACUUACAAAGACACUAAUGGUAGAAGUUUUACAAUAAUUAAAUAGAGCGAUUAAGAAUAACAGCUUGUCGAAGCUCGCUGUCUAGAGUUAGGAUUUUAAAAUUAAAAAAUAAAAUAAUAAAAUAAUAAUAAUAAUAAAAAUUAAAUUAAAUUAACAAAUAAAAAAAAUUUGUGCUUAUAAUAUCUUAAAGUUAUAAAAAAAUAGUAUUUCCAAGCACUUUGUAUUGAGAUUAAGCUUUUACAUUGCAAUCCAAAAUAGUUUAUAUUUAGAUGGUUGAAAUCCACCAGACUACUUGGAUACUUCCAAAAUAUUAUUUUAUCUUCCACAGCCAGACACUUGGUGCAUUCUUAAACAAGAUAGCAUGUAAUACGACACCACGCACUUAGUUGUAGAAGGUGAGAUUAUGUUUUACAAGUAACCAAGAAAUCCUAAUAGGUUUCAUCCAUGCGAGAAGAAUAUAAUCUGAAUUUCAAUUCAAAAGUAUUUAAAACACUCUUUUUAGUAGUCUUAACCAUACAUAAAUCCCAAUUACCUUCUUACUUUCAUAUUUAAGCAAUUUAGAUUUUUCUUAUAAGUUCCAAUCCUAAUAAGUGAACUUUAACAAGCUGUAACAUCCAAUCCGAUCGUCCACUUGAUGUAGAAUUUUGCAUGCAAUUAUCAAUAUAAGUCUUCUAAAUGCUCAAGAAUUUUUAGCCCAAUGCAACUUACAGAUUGUGAGAAAACCUCCAAAAAUUGCACCAAUGUCACUCGGCUGCCAACUUAAAAAAUGAAGCAGAAAUCCUAGCAAUGAUUUCUCCCUUUUCAAUUGUUAACUUUGUCUCAAAAUUGGUGUGUAGCUUGAUCUUCAAGUCCUACAACACCAUGCCAAUUUUCACUUUAAUCCAAUUAAUAGAUCUUCAAAUAUCAUAGAAAUCCUAUCCAACUUCAAACUGCCACUUUCUAAAACCCUCUUAAACUAAAAACUAGAUAUCUCUAAACUACGCCGUUACAUUAUUACAAAAUUUGUAUAUACUUAGCACAUCCAAUAAUCCAAAUAGUAUCAAAUUUUUAAUUGUAGAUGUCACACCAAUUGUACGAACUAGCCAAAAUUACUAGCCCUAAUUAUAUUAUGUAAAAUCCAAAUCACUGAUACAAACCCUGAUUUUGAACAAAAAAUUUUAAGUCCUCUAAAACCUUGUCAAAAAAAUUCUUAUG